CCGUAACUGCGAACAACAUCGUUCGUUUCUCCCGUCAAGCAGCCCCUGUUGCUGCCUGACCCUUAGGGGAGAUGGGGUGAAGUCAGCCUUAUCACCCAAUUGACUCAUGGGGGCUGUAAGGCCCC
rnacentral:tmRNA from 1 species